GACGACGACGACGACGACGACGACGACUACUACUACGACGCAGCAAUCUUCGUCAUUGGUGUAUUUCUUUCUCUUUUUCUUUUGUUUUUUUUUUCUUUUUCCGGCAACGUAGGAGCGUGCGCGAUCACCGACAUUGAAGAGAAUCGUCAAGAUUGGAAACAUCGUCCAUUGUAUUUCGUACUUCGCACUUGGACUACCAAUAAAGUCUUUGAGCCUAGUCGAGUCUGAAUUUACUACGUCGUUCAUUAACGUCAAUCGUUGAAAAUUCCGAGGAAGAACAGAAGAUUUCUAAUGUGUUUAAAAGAUUAUAACAUUCUAUUAAACAAAAAAUCAUCUACUUGACAAUCAUUCAAUUUGACAAUUCAUUCGGAUAGUCGAGAUUAGAACGUAGGCGUGGGUGAUCGAACAAUGAAUGCAUUUAUGAAAUGCAUUCCUUUUAAUAAUCAAUAUAUUUUAUAUUAAUUGUAAGAAAUACAAUGAAGAACUACGUGAUACGUCCGAUCUGUUGUGAUCGAUGGUUCGAGAAACAAAUGAAGAAGGAAAAAUAAAAGAUCGCUAUAGACAUCAUGUCAUCGGUAACAUUCGUCCAGCUUUGUUCUGGUCAGACUAUCCUUCGAUAAUUAAGCUUUAACAGCCGUGGGCACUCCGGUUCGUGUAUAAUGAUCGAUCGAUAUGAAUUACGAUCUCUCGAAAGAAGGAUAGAUUCUUUCGGGUUGCUUAUGAAGGAAUAAAAAAGAAAGACAGAGAUGAUGUUGAGUUAAUCGAAUGUCUAAAAUCGAUUAUAUAUUUAAAGGAGGGAAGACGGAAGGAGGAAGAUAUAAAAAAUGUAUCAUUUAUACAUACAAACGUCCCCGACAUUGGCACUUACU